ensembl:piRNA 21ur-1639 ncRNA
UGCUUGUAUGUAUACUUUGUG